UGCUGCGGGACUACGCUUACAUAAAACGUGAUAUUUCAAUGCGUCUGCUAGCGACCCACAAACUGACCUUUUGCUACCAAAUAAGAUAAGGAUAACUGAAUACACAUGGGGAAUUCAUCUAGUCAGUCAACAGAGAAGGCAAGAGCAGGGCCAUUAAGCGCGUCAGUUAUGUCUGAGAAGGCUGAUGAAAUCAAGAGAGAUGAACAAGGCAGACCCUUGGAUAAGGAUGGAAAUCCAUUAAAACCUUGCUGUGCCUGCCCUGAAACUAAGAAAGUUAGAGAUGAAUGUAUACUUCACAAUGGCGAAGAAAAUUGUAAAGAACUUAUAGAGGCACAUAAGGAAUGCCUUCGAAAGUUGGGAUUUAACAUUUGAUACAGUUACAGCAAACUUUGAAGCAGUAGCAGCAUUUCAGUAAGGAUCUCUGUACAUGUGUCACCAAAAAAUGGCUAUUUAUAAUAAGGAUCAACAGAAGAACAUUUCAAUUUAAUCAUUGAAAAAAUGGAAUAUAUUAAUGUUAAUGGCUCUAUUUAUUAUGUUGAAACAUUCAGGAGGGACAUUUUUACUUUUUUAGGGGGGUGUCUCUUUCUGUGAAAAUAAAGAGUUGGAGAGUUUUUAUCAAUUUUACAUAAACUGAAUAGUAGGAAUUCAGGGAGACAGCAUGGCUUCCCUUUUUAAAUAGCAUUUUCUGUUCCCAUCACACCACAUUAUAUCUUAAAAUAUGUGCAUGGUUAAAGAUUGUUGACUGCUGAGUUAAAGUUGCAAUAUGACACAUGGUGGAAAGUUUGUUGUAGUGUUUUAUUAUUGAAUCAUUCAGGAAAUUUAUUAAUGCUCUAUGUAUUAAAUUUUGUGAUAUGUGAAGUAUACACAGAAGAGUAAACAAGUUUAUGCAUAUAUGGAAA